GCAACCCUGGGGGAUCAGCAGAAGAGACUCUAAGCCCAUCUAUCAGUCUACAGUAUUGAGAGACAGAAAGUCAAGAAGUUCUGGACCUGCCAGGAAUUCCCACUGUGGAAACAAAUCCACCCUCCUUACUUCCUGGAGAGGGGUAAUUCCAUCAGGAAGGUCUUCCAUGAGCCUUACAUCAGACUUUGUCCUGAACUCCACCCACAGCUCCCCUGCCUGAGCGUGUCCCAUUUUCUCUGGACCUCUUUCAUCUCCAGUCCCAGAACAGCAUCCUCCUGCAUGUGCUUCUGAAAGUACAGGCCACUCCCACAUCCCUUCUACACCUGGGCCGCCAGGAAACUCACGGAUCCACUUUUGACACAGUCUGUUCUGCUCUCCCUUCUCAAAUCUGCCCAGAUCUCAGCUGUCCCCCAUGGUCCUUAUCAAACUCCCAUCUACAGCCUCUAGAAAGUGCCUUCUGAUCAUUUCCUCUAUCAUGGCCCCUGAGUGGCAGUCACAUGUACCCUUCAUCUGUUUGGCUCUUGCCCCCUGCCAGACCCAGCAGCAAUUCCAUGCCCCUGUCUUUCUGGAUCUCAGCUUGAGAGGAGUUUGAAGUGUGUGGCUUGAUUUUCGCCCAUCACUCUGUCCUGUCUGGCUUGCAUGCCUCACCUUUUCUUCACAGGAAAUCCCAUCAUUC
rnacentral:lncRNA from 1 species